rnacentral:tRNA from 1 species
UCUAAUAUGACAGAUAAGUGUAAUGGAUUUAAGCCCCAUAAAUAAAGGAUUCCCUUUUAUUAGAA